AGACCCGAAACCCGGUGAUCUAGCCAUGGGCAGGUUGAAGGUUGGGUAACACUAACUGGAGGACCGAACCGACUAAUGUUGAAAAAUUAGCGGAUGACCUGUGGCUGGGGGUGAAAGGCCAAUCAAACCGGGAGAUAGCUGGUUCUCCCCGAAAGCUAUUUAGGUAGCGCCUCGUGAAUUCAUCUCCGGGGGUAGAGCACUGUUUCGGCUAGGGGGCCAUCCCGGCUUACCAACCCGAUGCAAACUGCGAAUACCGGAGAAUGUUAUCACGGGAGACACACGGCGGGUGCUAACGUCCGUCGUGAAGAGGGAAACAACCCAGACCGCCAGCUAAGGUCCCAAAGUCAUGGUUAAGUGGGAAACGAUGUGGGAAGGCCCAGACAGCCAGGAUGUUGGCUUAGAAGCAGCCAUCAUUUAAAGAAAGCGUAAUAGCUCACUGGUCGAGUCGGCCUGCGCGGAAGAUGUAACGGGGCUAAACCAUGCACCGAAGCUGCGGCAGCGACGCUGAUGCGUUGUUGGGUAGGGGAGCGUUCUGUAAGCCUGCGAAGGUGGCCUGUGAGGGUUGCUGGAGGUAUCAGAAGUGCGAAUGCUGACAUAAGUAACGAUAAAGCGGGUGAAAAGCCCGCUCGCCGGAAGACCAAGGGUUCCUGUCCAACGUUAAUCGGGGCAGGGUGAGUCGACCCCUAAGGCGAGGCCGAAAGGCGUAGUCGAUGGGAAACGGGUUAAUAUUCCCGUACUUGGUGUUACUGCGAAGGGGGGACGGAGAAGGCUAUGUUGGCCGGGCGACGGUUGUCCCGGUUUAAGCGUGUAGGUGUGUGUUCCAGGUAAAUCCGGUUCACUUUAACACUGAGGCGUGAUGACGAGGCACUACGGUGCUGAAGCAACAAAUGCCCUGCUUCCAGGAAAAGCCUCUAAGCAUCAGGUAACAUCAAAUCGUACCCCAAACCGACACAGGUGGUCAGGUAGAGAAUACCAAGGCGCUUGAGAGAACUCGGGUGAAGGAACUAGGCAAAAUGGUGCCGUAACUUCGGGAGAAGGCACGCUGACAUGUAGGUGAAGUGAUUUACUCAUGGAGCUGAAGUCAGUCGAAGAUACCAGCUGGCUGCAACUGUUUAUUAAAAACACAGCACUGUGCAAACACGAAAGUGGACGUAUACGGUGUGACGCCUGCCCGGUGCCGGAAGGUUAAUUGAUGGGGUCAGCGCAAGCGAAGCUCCUGAUCGAAGCCCCGGUAAACGGCGGCCGUAACUAUAACGGUCCUAAGGUAGCGAAAUUCCUUGUCGGGUAAGUUCCGACCUGCACGAAUGGCGUAAUGAUGGCCAGGCUGUCUCCACCCGAGACUCAGUGAAAUUGAACUCGCUGUGAAGAUGCAGUGUACCCGCGGCAAGACGGAAAGACCCCGUGAACCUUUACUAUAGCUUGACACUGAACAUUGAGCCUUGAUGUGUAGGAUAGGUGGGAGGCUUUGAAGUGUGGACGCCAGUCUGCAUGGAGCCGACCUUGAAAUACCACCCUUUAAUGUUUGAUGUUCUAACGUGGACCCGUAAUCCGGGUUGCGGACAGUGUCUGGUGGGUAGUUUGACUGGGGCGGUCUCCUCCUAAAGAGUAACGGAGGAGCACGAAGGUUGGCUAAUCCUGGUCGGACAUCAGGAGGUUAGUGCAAUGGCAUAAGCCAGCUUGACUGCGAGCGUGACGGCGCGAGCAGGUGCGAAAGCAGGUCAUAGUGAUCCGGUGGUUCUGAAUGGAAGGGCCAUCGCUCAACGGAUAAAAGGUACUCCGGGGAUAACAGGCUGAUACCGCCCAAGAGUUCAUAUCGACGGCGGUGUUUGGCACCUCGAUGUCGGCUCAUCACAUCCUGGGGCUGAAGUAGGUCCCAAGGGUAUGGCUGUUCGCCAUUUAAAGUGGUACGCGAGCUGGGUUUAGAACGUCGUGAGACAGUUCGGUCCCUAUCUGCCGUGGGCGCUGGAGAACUGAGGGGGGCUGCUCCUAGUACGAGAGGACCGGAGUGGACGCAUCACUGGUGUUCGGGUUGUCAUGCCAAUGGCACUGCCCGGUAGCUAAAUGCGGAAGAGAUAAGUGCUGAAAGCAUCUAAGCACGAAACUUGCCCCGAGAUGAGUUCUCCCUGAGACUUUAGGUCUCCUGAAGGAACGUUGAAGACGACGACGUUGAUAGGCCGGGUGUGUAAGCGCAGCGAUGCGUUGAGCUAACCGGUACUAAUGAACCGUGAGGCUUAACCUU
rnacentral:rRNA from 1 species